rnacentral:tRNA from 1 species
UGCCGUGUGGUCUAGUGGUUUAGGAUUUCUGGUUUCACCCAGGCGGCCGGGGUCGAUUCCCCGCACGGGAG